rnacentral:rRNA from 1 species
ACGGGAGGCAGCAGUGAGGAAUAUUGGUCAAUGGGCGGGAGCCUGAACCAGCCAAGUAGCGUGAGGGAUGACUGCCCUACGGAUUGUAAACCCCUUUUGCCGGGGAGUAACGUGCGGUACGCGUACCGUAUUGAGAGUACCCGGAGAAAAAGCAUCGGCUAACUCCGUGCCAGCAGCCGCGGUAAUACGGAGGAUGCGAGCGUUAUCCGGAUUUAUUGGGUUUAAAGGGUGCGCAGGCGGCGCGUCAAGUCAGCGGUCAAACCCCGGGGCUCAACCUCGGGCCGCCGUUGAAACUGCCGUGCUCGAGUUCGUGCGAGGAGAGCGGAAUGCGUGGUGUAGCGGUGAAAUGCAUAGAUAUCACGCAGAACGCCGAUUGCGAAGGCAGCCCUCCAGCACUGGACUGACGCUGAGGCACGAAAGCGUGGGUAUCGAACAGGAUUAGAUACCCUGGUA